UACGUAGGUGGCAAGCGUUGUCCGGAUUCACUGGGCGUAAAGCGCGCGCAGGCGGUCUUCUACGUCUGGGGUGAAAACCCGGGGCUCAACCCCGGGACUGCCUUGGAUACGGGAAGACUUGAGGAUCGGAGAGGCAAGGGGAAUUCCACGUGUAGCGGUGAAAUGCGUAGAGAUCGGUAGGAACACCAAUGGCGAAGGCAGCUUGCUGGCAUGUAUCUGACGCUAAGGCACGAAAGCGUGGGGAGCGAACAGG
rnacentral:rRNA from 1 species